rnacentral:tRNA from 1 species
AGGCGCGUAGCUCAGGGGUAGAGCACUUGCUUGACGCGCAAGGGGUCAGGAGUUCAAAUCUCCUCGCGCCUACCA